rfam:Salmo salar isolate Sally breed double haploid chromosome ssa04, whole genome shotgun sequence.
AAGCCCCAUAUUUGUAAGUCGCUUUGGAUAAGAGCGUCUGCUAAAUGACUUAAA